GAUGAACGCUAGCUACAGGCUUAACACAUGCAAGUCGAGGGGCAGCGGGAUUGAAGCUUGCUUCAAUUGCCGGCGACCGGCGCACGGGUGAGUAACGCGUAUCCAACCUUCCGCAUACUCGGGGAUAGCCUUCUGAAAAGGAGAUUAAUACCCGAUGGUAUCUUAAGCACGCAUGAGAUUAAGAUUAAAGAUUUAUCGGUAAGCGAUGGGGAUGCGUUCCAUUAGGCAGUUGGCGGGGUAACGGCCCACCAAACCUACGAUGGAUAGGGGUUCUGAGAGGAAGGUCCCCCACAUUGGAACUGAGACACGGUCCAA
rnacentral:rRNA from 1 species